rnacentral:rRNA from 1 species
GUGAGGAAUUUUCCGCAAUGGGCGAAAGCCUGACGGAGCAAUGCCGCGUGAAGGAUGAAGGCCUAUGGGUUGUAAACUUCUUUUCUUAGAGAAGAAUAUUGACGGUAUCUGAGGAAUAAGCAUCGGCUAACUCUGUGCCAGCAGCCGCGGUAAGACAGAGGAUGCAAGCGUUAUCCGGAAUGAUUGGGCGUAAAGCGUCUGUAGGUGGCUUCAAAAGUCUCCUGUCAAAGGUCAGGGCUUAACCCUGGGCCGGCAGGAGAAACUCUGAGGCUAGAGUUUGGUAGGGGCAGGUGGAAUUCCCGGUGGAGCGGUGAAAUGCGUAGAGAUCGGGAGGAACACCAAAGGCGAAAGCACUCUGCUGGGCCACAACUGACACUGAGAGACGAAAGCGAGGGGAGCAAAAGGGAUUAGAUACCCGGGUAGUCC